rnacentral:rRNA from 1 species
UACAGAGGUCUCAAGCGUUGUUCGGAUUCAUUGGGCGUAAAGGGUGUGUAGGUGGCGCGCUAAGUCGGGUGUGAAAUUUCGGAGCUUAACUCCGAAACUGCAUUCGAUACUGGCGUGCUUGAGGACUGGAGAGGAGACUGGAAUUCAUGGUGUAGCAGUGAAAUGCGUAGAGAUCAUGAGGAAGACCAGUGGCGAAGGCGGGUUGCUGGGCUGACACUGACGCUGAGGCGCGAAAGCUAGGGGAGCGAACGGG